rnacentral:tRNA from 10 species
UUCCUUUUUGUUGUUUCAAGGUUUGCUAGAGCUUUUGCCUAAUCAUCUGUUUGAGCAUCUUGAAAAUAAGUAUCUAUUUCCAUGGUAUCUAUCAAAAACAGGCACCAGAUUAUACUACAAAGUUGACCUGCCAUAUUGCUAUUAGAAUUAAAACAUGUAGCAGCUUACAUUCAAAAGAAAGCUUUUCUGUUUCCCCAGCAUGAAAAGCAGAGGGUAUUUGUGAUACACUUUGUUUUGUAGGUCUGCUGAAUGAAAAAAAUAAUCGGGUAAAAAAUUAGUACCUAUAUUUUCACAAAUGGGCAUAAUGCUUACAAAUGCACUACAUCAUUAUUUUAGCUUCAUUCUCCCCACAACAUUCAUUUAUUCAUUCAACAAACAUUUGCUGAGCACCUACUCCUAAUUUGUGUAAGCACUUUGCUGGGUGCUAGGGAUUCAGCAGUGGACAAGGUAAACAAGAUUCCGCCCUCCUGAAUUCUGUCACCUGGCCAAAAUAAACAUUUAACAAGUACGCUGCUAGAAUUUUACUUGAGAAAAAGGAAUAAUUCAUCUUACCUAGUAUUUCUUCUGAAUCUUUCUUAAACAUAUUUCUUGAAGGUCCAGACUCCUUUAACUAAGAAGUUCUAUCUUAAAUCUCUCUCUUUCCAUUGUUAUAUUCAUUCCUUUCUUGGUUACAAUGUGGAGAGUUCAGAUUGCAACUGCUAUCAUUUCUGGGGGGAAUGGGGGUGGGACUGUAACCCUGAGAAUCCUUGCUUUUCAAACUACACAUAUAUUUUCUCUGUAAAUAUUGUACCAUCUAAUUUGCGUCUUUGGAUUUUGUUGAUUAGCCAUCAACAUGUGAUUUAAGGAAUACUGCAUAUGAGAUGCAGAAAUCAUGACUCAGUAAGUUAUUAUUUUAAAGCUCUAUUUUGGGAUUUAUACAGACUUGUGUACAGUCUAGUUUGGCUUUCAAUCUAAUCUGCAACUAUUACUAGGAGGCUUUUAGAUCAAGUUCCAUACCCAUGUGUCUCUGGAAUUCUACAGUGAGAAGCAAAAGUGCUCAGGAGUUAAGAGAAGCAGACGUCCGAAAUUAUCUCCAUGCAUUACCAAAAACCGUGGGCACCACGGCACGGGGAAAACUUACCAGGUACAAUGAGCCAGUGACUGUUACUGAAUUUCUUAAGAUUACACUUUUCCCAACUACUGCAGACUGCUUCAGAAUAGAAGAAGGUAAGUAAGCAGGGUGAUUACAAGCAAUCCUCCUCGGAAGUGAAACUCACUCUUCUAAGUUUACCUCUGUUUUGAAUUAUUUCAGACAACUCUCAUGCCAUCAAGCCGACGGACUUUCAAAAAAAUAAAAGAUGCAUUUCUUUACUUGUAAGUAUUUGUCUUUGCAAAGGGCUCUCUGAUAUGGUAGCACAGAAGUUUGCACAUUCUAAGGAUCUGAUGUUUUGCCCUCUUCGGGUAUCCCGGCUGGAAGGAGCUACGGUGAAAGGGCACCUAAGGUGAAUGGACAGAUUGUAGAUGGGUGCACACAGGAAAAUGUACAGCUCCUACAAUGUAUUCUGAGGGCCCAUGAGAAGUAAAAGCAGGCACUGGCAUUCUGCACAGAUGAAAUACUUCCUACGACAGGAAUACAUGCUCACUUGUGGACUUCUCUGUAAUCUGUAGGCAACAUCAGCUCCUGAUUUCUAGGUCUGGAUCUGGGUUCUCUGUAGCACAGGAAGCAUAGUUACUCUGUGAUGAAGAAAAACUCAGAAAACUAUCCAGAUGUGGGAAUUUCUCGGGUAUUCCUUGCACUUGAACUUAAGGAUGAAUGAAGGUAUAUACAAGUCUCUACUUCUCCUACAUAAAUGCCUUGCAUGGCGGGAACUAAAUCAACUACACAGACCCAUACAUCCAGAGAGCAGAGGUGAGCUGGAUACAAGUGGCUUAGAGAUGUGGUGGAAGGAGGCCAGAGCUCCAAGGGAAGGGCAGCAAGGAGACAACAGCAUGGGUUGCAGCUCAGACAACAGGUAAAUAAAACCAAGCAAAGCUGCUGGUCACAGAUUUGACCAGGGUGGCAAGAAAUGACAAGCUACCAUGAGAUUCAACAGUGGCACGGAAGGAUGAUGAGAAGCAAACAGAUUAGGAGAAGCUGCCACCACCGUACAUAGAGGCACAGAUGACCAAGCAGAACAGCACCAGUCCCUGCAAGGUGUGCUCAGAUACAGCUCAGCACAGCCAUCUGGCCAGGAGGGAAUGAUAAUGCACAUGGUGUGCACUGCAGCCGGGAAGUUGAGAACCGCUGUGGGCACCUCAGGACUGAGUCUGGUUACCCUGCUGAUCCAAGAAAUGAAGCCAUCUAAAAUUUUGCCUGCUUUCACAAUUUUCUGUGUGUGUGUGUGUGUAUUAAACAAAGUGAACUAAGAAGCCUUUUAUUGGAGACAUAAUGUACUCACAGUAGUUUCAAAAUCAAUGGUGUCACUCUUCAGGUAAAUUACUCCAAGGCUUGGGCCUAGUGCAGAUGUUCAUUGGGGCAGGGAGCAGAGAGCGGCUGCAUCUAGAUCAGACAAAAAACAAAAAUAAGGUUGUUAAAUGAACAGGUGAUGGUGAUGGCAAUUAUUUAUUUUGAUAGGAAAG